rnacentral:lncRNA from 1 species
CAUGCUCAAGGACGAGCAUUGUCUAAGCAGGGGGAAGGAGUCAUCACAUUAUCUCUGACUAUUGCUGAGUAAAGUACUAUGUUGCAAGAAGUUUGAGGAGCAAAAAUAAAAAAAUGAGGAAAAAGAAAGAAAGAAGAAAGAAGAGAAAAAGGAAUGAAAAAGAAAAAAAAUAUAAAGAAGAAAAAGAAUAAAAUGCUCCUCGGUUCUUUGAGCCUCAUUAAAGUUCCUAGUGCUCUCAAGAUUAAGGAUUGACCCAUACUCAUUUUCGAACCAUGUGCAAUCUGAUACGAGAACUUCAUUGGUUUGACAAUCUCUAAAUGUGUGUGUUUCAUCCCUCUCCCUCUCCAGCAUUUAUUUUCCAUAGCCUUUUUGACAAGUCUUGGUAAUCCCAAU